rnacentral:rRNA from 1 species
AGCGCAGGUGGUUGUAUAAGUCUGAAGUAAAAGGCAGUGGCUCAACCAUUGUGUGCUUUGGAAACUGUACAACUUGAGUGCAGAAGGGGAGAGUGGAAUUCCAUGUGUAGCGGUGAAAUGCGUAGAUAUAUGGAGGAACACCGGUGGCGAAAGCGGCUCUUUGGCCUGUAACUGACACUGAGGCUCGAAAGCGUGGGAGCAAACA